rnacentral:rRNA from 1 species
AUUGAACGCUGGCGGCAUGCCUUACACAUGCAAGUCGAACGGCAGCACGGGUGCUUGCCCCUGGUGGCGAGUGGCGAACGGGUGAGUAAUACAUCGGAACAUGUCCUGUAGUGGGGGAUAGCCCGGCGAAAGCCGGAUUAAUACCGCAUACGAUCUACGGAUGAAAGCGGGGGACCUUCGGGCCUCGCGCUAUAGGGUUGGCCGAUAGCUGAUUAGCUAGUUGGUGGGGUAAAGGCCUACCAAGGCGACGAUCAGUAGCUGGUCUGAGAGGACGACCAGCCACACUGGGACUGAGACACGGCCCAGACUCCUACGGGAGGCAGCAGUGGGGAAUUUUGGACAAUGGGCGAAAGCCUGAUCCAGCAAUGCCGCGUGUGUGAAGAAGGCCUUCGGGUUGUAAAGCACUUUUGUCCGGAAAGAAAUCCUUGGCUCUAAUACAGUCGGGGGAUGACGGUACCGGAAGAAUAAGCACCGGCUAACUGCGUG